rnacentral:sRNA from 1 species
CUGCAAGGCAACUGUUAAAAUAAUUUCUCACAGGAGUAGAGUUUUCUUUCUUUCCUAAAAAUCCACAGUGUUUCCUCAGACAUGAUCACACCAGCCUCUGCAAUAUAUUUCUAGUUGUUUGGGGGAUGUUAUCCUGCUUUAUAUAUGAGGCCAGGAAAGGGUAAAAUCCUUUAUUCACUUACCUGGUUUUAUACCCAGGUUUCCCUGUAUGUACUGUAAUGGGGUGAUGGAAAAGUGAACUAACAUUUUUUCUUGUUCCUAUUGUUAGGUGAGAGAGAGAAAGAUUUGUGGGGAGAUGGAGUGGGGAGGAUUAAUUCCUUUAAAAUAAAUUCAGUUUGAUGUACCUGUGUGACACUCAGAUGGGGAUAUCCUAUUGUCAUUUGAAUGUAUUGAUCUGGUGCUCAGAGGAGAUGAACAGGCUGCAAAUAAGGAUUUGAGAGCCAUUGGAAGAUGGAUGAUAAUGGAGCACAUGGAAGUAGAUGUGGCCCUUCAGAGAGAAGGUGCAGAGUCAGAGUGAAGGGCUGCAAAAGAACUGUAAGGUACUAUGGGCAGCUGGGGAGAGAAGCACAGAAUUGAAAAAAUGUAUACCCUUCCAGACACUUUUACUAUUCAUAUACUUAUAUAUUCUUUACAUAAAAUUGGAUCAUACUAUCAAAAA